rnacentral:rRNA from 1 species
GGAUGCGAUCAUUACCAGCACUAAAGGACCGGAUCCCAUCAGAACUCUGAAGUUAAGUGUGCUUGGGCGAGAGUAGUGCUAGGAUGGGUGACCUCCUGGGAAAUCCUUGUGUUGCAUUCC